GAUGAACGCUGGCGGCGUGCCUAAUACAUGCAAGUCGAGCGAACGGACCAGAAGCUUGCUUCUCUGAUGUUAUCGGCGGACGGGUGAGUAACACGUGGAUAACCUACCUAUAAGACUGGGAUACCUUCGGGAAACCGUAGCUAAUACCGGAUAAUAUUUUGCACCGCAUUGUUCAAAAGUGAAAGACGGUCUUUCUGUCACUUAUAGAUUGAUCCGCGCUGCAUUAGCUAGUUGGUAAGGUAACGGCUUACCAAGGCAACGAUGCAUAGCCGACCUGAGAGGGUGAUCGGACACACUGGAACUGAGAAACGGUACAGACUCCUACGGGAGGCAGCAGUAGGGAAUCUUACGCAAUGGGCGAAAGCGUGACGGAGCAACGCCGCGUGAGUGAUGAAGGUGUUCGGAUCGUAAAACUCUGUUAUUAGGGAAGAACAAAUGUGUAAGUAACUGUGCACAUCUUGACGGUACCUAAUCAGAAAGCCACGGCUAACUACGUG
rnacentral:rRNA from 1 species